AUCUAACUUUGGGAGAAGGGGUGCCUCCCCAUAAAGGGGUCACAAUGACCAGGCCUGGGCAACUAUUUACCAAAAACAUAAGUAUCCACAAAGUUGUAAGACCAUGUAUGGGGAUUGACGCCUACCUAGUGUUGAAAGGUCAAGGAAGUUGGUGACUUGAUGACAGGGGAGCUAGCUACCGAAGCCCCGGUGAACGACAGUCAUAACUAUAACAAUCCUAAGGUAGCAAAAUUCCUUGUCAAGCAAGUUUCAACCCACACGAAAGGCAGAACAAUUUGGGCACU
rnacentral:ncRNA from 1 species